GCAUGCUCUGGGUAACGCCUUUGCUUCUGGCUGCUCUCCAUCAGUUUGUGGUUUCAGGGGUUUCCCCAGGCUUCCCUGUGGACUUACUGCCUCUCCUCUGCCUGGUGACCCUUAACCUUCACCUCUGACCUCCCACCUCCCAUGGAGCCAGACAUGGACUCUUUAGGAAUCUUCAGGCAGCUUUGCAUACAACAGGAUGAAGCUUAAAAGAGAGACAGUCACAGUUUCAGUAUGAUCCACAGUGGUCCGAAAUUUGGAAUCCUUGCCAAAAUACAGAACUGUCAUCUCCUUGAUUCAGAGUAUUUCUGAAGGUGAGGGACACAGUAGCACCUUUGGAAUGCAGAUCACUCAGACAACCUGCACCAAAAAUAUUUCCCAGUUCUCCAAGCAAAGCAAGCCAGGCUUAGCUGUGCAGAACAGUCUUGCACCCA